GAUGAACGCUGGCGGCGUGCUUAACACAUGCAAGUCGAACGGAGCACUUUAUCUUAUUUCCUUCGGGAGUGAUUAUUUUGUGACUGAGUCGCGGACGGGUGCGUAACGCGUGGGUAACAUGCCUUGUACAGGGGGAUAACAGUUCGAAACUGCUGCUAAUACCGCAUGAGCGCCCUGCGACGCCUGAUGCAGUGUGGAAAGCUCCGGUGGUAUAAGAUGGAGGCGCGUUGGAUUAGCCAGUGGGUGAGGUAAGGGCCUACCAAGGCGACGAUCCAGAGCCGAGAGGAGAGGCGGACCGGCCACAUCGGGACUGAGACACAGCCCCAAAUCCUACGGGAGGGAGGAGAGGGGAAUACAGCAGAAGGGAGGAUGGCCUGAUGCAGCGGCGCGGGGUGAGCGAAGAAGUAUGUUGGUAUGUGAAGUUAUAUCAGCAGAGGAGAUAAUGACGGUACCUGAAGAAGAAGCACCGGCUAAAUACGUG
rnacentral:rRNA from 1 species